UGUUAGAGAUUUAGCUCAGCGGUAGAGCGCUUGCCUAGCAAGCGCAAGGACCUGGGUUCGGUCCCCAGCUCCGAAAAAAAGAAAAAAAAAAAAAAAGAAAAAAGAAGAGGGAGCGGCCUUUCUGCCGAGUGCCCAGGGGAAUGGAGAAAUCGGCUGUGCAGUGUUUCCACAGAGAGUACCAUGAAGCAACCCAAACGAAUAGGGUAUUAACCCACAUAAGGUGCCAGGAAACUUCAGAGGUGCCAUGAUGGGGGAAAAGGAGCCAGGCCUAUGAGAACACGCACCAGGCUGUACAGCAGGCACCACGGAUCUAAGGAAAAUCAGGCCAACCCGAAAAAAAAAAAAAAAAAAAAAAAGACCCAGAUUUUUCCUGCAGUGUGGAGGAAGCUUUCCUGUGAGCUGGGCACAGAGUCAGGUCAGGGGAGGAACUGGUCUGCCUGUUGCCAAGCCUGGCUCAGUAAGUAUUUACGAGACUGGAGAAUCUGCUCACAAGCUGGGUAUAAUACCUACGUGUUUGCGUUCAUGAGCUCUAAAUUCCCGCCAUUGGUACCACACGGUUCGGUGCCUGGUUAUAUGCCAGAUGGUAAUGUGUUCUAGUGGCCGCCAUUUUUAUCACCCCAGUCAGAGGCAGGAGCACACCAAGAGAGAGCGGGAGAGCGGAUGGCUGUGAGACUUCGGAGUUUAGGGAAUAAAUUCAUAUUCCGCCCUGCAAGCUUUGCAGCUGUGGUUCUAGAACUGCAGGAGGUUAGCGAUGAUGCUCAAGACAAGCGCGCGAAUGCGCCCGACACCGUGCUGGGCUCUGGGGCAUGACACAGUAGGACAGGUCACAUGGGUCGCCUUCAUUUGAGGACACGUGUUCUGAGCAGCCUGAUGAUUGUGUGAAAGUAUGGAUAGUCUGACUCCUACACAUGUGAUAUUUUUCUUUUCUUUUUUUUUUUUUUCUUUUUUUCGGAGCUGGGGACUGAACUCAGGACCUUGCGCUUGCUAGGCAAGCGCUCUACCACUGAGAUAAAUCCCAAACCCCGAUACUUUUCUUUUCUAUAUAUGCACCUAGGAUAGUUUAAUUCAGAAAGUGAGCAUACUGGAGAUUAAUAAUUAGCAAUAGAAUAAGACAAUAAUAAUAAUAAUAAUAAUAAUAAUAAAUAUAGUCAUAAAAGUUACAUGGAAGUGGUCUCUCUAUCAAUGUAAUACCACACUCACCUUUUUCAGUGAGACGAUGAGAAUUGUAAAGCCUGUGUUAGGAAAAUGAUCUGGUCCUGUGAAUAACACCCAGGGACAUGUGAGCAAACACUGUUCGCCCAGACAGGGUACCAUCAACAGACCAACAAAAUGAUUGCACCCGAAUCCAGCAUAGUGAGGCUGUUGACUGGAUUUAGUUAUAGGGAUAUAGGUGGCAGACUGUCAGCUGCAUCACUGAAAAAUCUACCCCAGCUCAGAUGAGGACUCACAAAAGCCACAUAGUGCCAGAACAGGACUGCACCCCCAGCACUUCUAUUUGUAUCACCUUGUGGGAGGAGCCUUGUGAAUCUCCUGUUUCAGGAGUUUCCUGAGACUUGUGUGUUGUGCUCAGUUUCUGAGCCUUGAAGAGUCUCCCUCCAGGAAGGAAUGCUUCAAUUAGGGGGAAAUCACUACCAAGGAUUAUGUAAUAUCCUUCUUAGCAUUAGAUCUUCACAAGCACAUUGGAGCUCCAGCACUUGAUAAUAUCAUCCACAGCAGUGGUUCACCAGUGGAUUGCAACCCCUUUAGGGGGGGUCAAAGGACUCUUUCACAGGUGUCAUCCUAAGACAAUCAGAAAACACAGAUAUUGUGUUUCAUUGUGAUUCAUAACAGUAGCAAUGAAAAUAAUUUUAAGGUUGGAGGGGUCACCACAACAUGAGGAACUGUAUUAAAGGGUGGCAGCAUUAGGAAGGUUGAGAACCCCUGAUUCAGAGGAUGACAGAGUGACUGUGCUCUAGAUUUGACCUUGAACAAGUGUGACCUGAACGAAAGGAUAAUUUAUGGUGAUGAGGUUGUGGGUCACAGUGAGAUGGAUCAAGAUAGUGUGAGAUACCCUUAAGCUACUCAAACAAUGCACAAUUUAAAAGGGAUGAAUUGCUUAUUUCUGAAAAUUUUCCAUUCAAUAUUGUCAGUCCAUGCUUGUCCCAGGCAGCUGACACUGUUGAUCAGGGACCACCCUGUCUGUGGGCUUUGUUCGGGCUGAAAGAGUUCAUUGCCCCACUGGGAAGAAGACACAAUGUAACCGCCCGGAGACUAUACCAGAUUAUUUCUGCUUUGGCCCUGUUGUGGUGGGAAAGCCGAGUCUGAGGCAUCCGGUGAAAGGUUUUAUCAAACCAAAAUUAUACAGGUUUUAAAAAAGAAUUUCUUCUGUGGGGCAGACUGGGCAAAAUCUUAGAGAAAGAUCUGACAGGGCAGGUCAGGGCAGAGGCUCCAUUUUUUAUUCUUGCUGAGGCUGUUUCUAGCUCAAGUAGAAUUUGAUCCCCUUCAUGGGGAAUCCCAUUGGAAACUACCCAGCUCUGUUCUAGGAGCCGACGGUCAGGAUGCUAAUUUAACGUAGCCUUUGUUCAAACUGCUUGUGUGUGCAGGGUCUCCUCCAUCUAACUGUUUAUCUUAGCUUCCUGUUUGCCCAAAAUCCCCUCCAGCUGGCUGACCCCUUAUCUUAGCUUCCGUUAAAAUGGUUUGCUUCAAAGUGCUUCCUUUGUGAAGCCCCACCACCAGCUGAAGCUGUAGAGAGAGAUGUCUUGACAAGGUCUCUGCCCCCAAAAUCCCCAUGUUCUUUGUUUAGCUCUGCACCCCAUUUUUAAUAGGGUUAUUCUUUGGAUUCUUUGGAGUCUAACUUCUUGAGUUCUUUGUAUAUAUUAGAUAUUAGCCCUCUAUUACCCCACCUGGGGAUCCAUCCCAUACGCAGCCACCAAACCCAGCUACUAUUGCUGAUGCCAAGAAGUGCUUGCUGACAGGAGCCAGAUAUAGGUGUCUCCUGAGAGGCUCUGCCAGAGCCCUACUACCACAGAUGAGGAUGCUUGCAGCUAACCAUUGGACUGAAUAAGGGGACCCCAAUGGAGGAGUUAGAGAAAGGACUGAAAGAGCUGAAGGGGUUUACAAAAGGAAGAACAACAAUAUCAACCAACCAGACCCCACCAGAGCUCCCAGGGACUAAACCACCAACCAAUGAAUACACAUGGAGAGACCCGUGGCUCUAGCCACAUAAGUAGCAGAGGAUGGCCUUGUCCAGCAUCAAUAGGAGGAGAAGCCCUUGGUCCUGUGAAGGCUCAUUUCCCCAAGGUAGGAGAAUGUCAGGGUGUUGAGGUAGGAGUAAGUGGGUGGGAGUGGGAGCACCCUCAUAGAAGCAGGGGAGGUGGGGAGGGGGUAUGGGAGAUGGGGGCUAGGGGAUAACAUUUGAAAUGUAAAUACAUAAAAUAUCCAAGAAAAAUAAAAUUAAAAAAAAAAGGAAAAAAAAUCCCCAUGUUCCGGACAUGCAGGCCACACCCAUGUCCUUUCUCCCAUCCCCUCCUGCCACCCCCUUCUCCUACUCCCCUCCCCCUCUCCCCUCCCCACAACACUUGGGUGUGGUCCCAGCUGGCUGGAAUAAAGACUUUCAAAUGGCUAUAAACUUCAUCUGAACAUUCAUCUCUGGUGGGCUACCUGAGGCACGAGGAAAAGAAUAGUAUCCCUGAGAGGGAAUGGGGUCCUUUGUGGCACCCAAGAAAAGUUACCUGGCCCUUCUACCCUGGGCCACUCAGGUGAGGUUUUGUUUGCAGAGGUCAAGAGUUCAGUAUCUUGGGGUAUCAAAUCUCAUGAUAUCCCAUGUCUUCCCAGACACCAGCCAUUGGUCUCUAGGCUCUAAUUGCUUGUCAAAGGAAUCCCCAGCCACCGGCUCAGACUCCAAGCAUUUAGAAUCUAACUGCUAGGGAAUAGGUACUUUUGAUUUUGGUUCAGGGCUUUCCCCUAGUUUCUGGUCUGUAGGUUGAUGUCAUUAUGUAGGUGAAGGCAAACAAGUUAGGCCAAGGCCAUGAUUGGACAGUACAAAAGUAAGGCGGGGACAAAGCUUUUGUAAAAAGCAAGAGAGGAGGAGGAGAAUCAAGAUGGAGAUGGGAAGGAUGACCCAGAUCCAGGUGGUCUUGAAUGGCCAAGGUAGCAGGGAUGGAUUUCUGUGGGCAAAUUUGUCUUAUCGAGGUGGGCGGUUUAUAUCCUUAUCAAUUGGUUGUAAGUUCAUUGUGUGGAUGUACUGUGGAUUGAGAAUUUAACAUAUAAAUCUGCUUGUUGGGAUACAGUUUGUUGGUCUUGAUUUUACUGGGUAGUUGGGAGUUUAUACUUUAACUAUCAGGGGGUGGUGGCUGAGAGUGUGGGCAGAGUCCGUGGCAGGGAGCCAUGCUAGGCCAGCUGCUGCUGGACUUCUAGAGCCCUGAUUUUACCGGGUAGCUGGAACCAGAGAGUUUGAGGCUAGCAGAGAGCCACCCAGGGAGAUAUUAACUUGAGGUAAAUUAGCACUAGUUCCAAUGGCCAGCUGGAGCCAGAACUAGCAAGGGAGCGAGACCGUCAGGGUAUGUGCAGGAACUGUUCCGACUGAUUUUUAUUUUUACUGCAACGUUGGUCUUUGUGUGCUUCCUGUGCACAAGUCAUGUAUCACCAGUCUAUUGUGGUGUCAGGACAUCCUGGCACCACCCCCCUUUAUGAAGUACCACAGAACUUAGGGUGUUGUUUAAAUGGUCCUCCAGAGGGUAUGAUUCUAAGUCCCACAUGCUUCUCAGAAUGGAGGCUGUCUGAACAAGGCAUUGUAAAGACUUAAUCCCCCGUCUCUGUUCACCGGAGUUGACUAGUGGCGACAGCACCUUUGGUGCCUCAUCUUGCGGAGUAUGAGGGUGACUGUAAGGAUUCACUUUGACUAUGCAUCCGAGGCUGCCACCUCCAUGGUCUUCUAUUGUAUUUUGUGCAAGCCACUCCCUGCCCCCAAAGCCAAAAACCAUCCCAUGUGGGUUCUUGAGUAAGUGGUCUUUGGGACUGGCUGUUUGCUUCCUUGCUUGUCAAGUCAUCUUGCUGACCCCAAUCUGUAUUUAAGAAGGUUAUGACCCACUGGUUGAGAAGCACUGCUCUAAGGAGAGACAAACGAAAAGUGAGUGGGUAUUCCCGCCACUGUGAGAAUCCCAGGGAUGGAACUCAGGUUGUUAAUGUGGCGGCAACAAGUGCCUUCAUCCACUGGGCCAUCUCAACGGCUCUGAUUUUAGGCUCAGCUCUGACCUCCAGUUUGGGAUCUGGCCCAACUGUUGAGCUUUCUGCUUGCCACUUGCCCCAUCUGACAGGACCCCGUGACGUCACACACGGAUCUGUGUUAAACUCACAGCCAGGGCGAGGCACAGGGCUAAACCGAUCCAGGCCACUUCCAGUUGAAUUUGGAGCAAACACGGCAACGUUUGAAAGGCACAACUCAACAGAACCUUUCGGACUCCAGUAGAAUGCAACUGAGGAUUCGAGAGCACGGUCAGCUUCCUGGAAUCUGCUGUGGGUCUUUGGAAGAGGCUGUCUACUGAACUCCAACAAUCAUAAUCCCAUGUGUGCUGCCCCCUGACACCACUUCGUCCAGCUGAGGGCUUUCUGAAGUCCCUGGCCGUUCUUCUUUCUCUACGUACCAUGUCACUGUGUGGGCACGGAUCAGUUCUCUCUGAGAAGCUGAAAUUAGUUUUUCAGAAAGUGUGUGUCGUAAUUCUCACCCCUUGGCUUCAUAGCUUGGGUCCCCUGGAGGUUUUGCAAAUGCUCUUUUUCUUCCCUUCCAUUGUUUGUUUGUUUUUCAAGACAUCAUUUGUUUGUUUUUCUGUGUAGCCUCCCAUGUCCCCGGAACUCACUCUGUGAACCAGGCUGGCCUUGAACUCACAGAGAUCCAGCUGCCUCUGCCUGUUGAGGGCUGGGAUUAAAGGCUAGAGCCACUACUACCUAGCCCAGCUAGCACUCUUAAUCUUUACCUAUGUACUUCUUUCUCAUCCUACAGAAGCAUACAUCUACUUUCCAUAUAUCCCAAAUGAAUAUUUUCUGAAAGGCUGGGUCACAUUGCAUUCUUUUUUCUGCUAAUAACAACUGUAUGCUGGGUGUGAUAGGACUGGGGGCUUCAAGCUUAGGAAGAUUUGCUUCUGAGGGGCGCUCAUCCUGCGUGCUUAGCUUACGGGUUGCUCUCCAGUGAUCUUUUUUUGGCAGUAAAUCCACUUGCUGGUUUAAUUCUGAAUUGCAUUACUCUGAUUUUGCUGCUGAAGCAGGAGGAAAAAAAUAGUUUCUCUAAACGUCGUCAAAAAUACAGAAUUGCAUUUUGCACCGUAGGCAUGUUAGAAUUCUGGAGCCCAAGGAAACCGAGGCUGUGGAAUUGUGGGUUCUUAACCUUGGGUGAGCUUAAGAAGCCUGUUAACCCUAUGCAUUGCUGUGUGUGCGUAUAUGUGUCCAUGUGCAUGUACAUGUGGGUGCACAAGUGUAUCAUGUGCAUCCAUGUUUGUGCCUAUGUGCAUAAAUGCAUGUGUGUUCAUGUACAUGUAUAUGUGUGCCUGUCCAUGUGCAUGGCUAUGUGUGUCUGUGUAUCCAUAUACAUGUAUGUGUGUGUAUGAGUGUAUCAUGUGUAUCCAUGUUUGUGUCUAUGAGCAUAAACGUAUAUGUGUUCAUGUGCAAGUAUAUGUGUGUCUGUGUGUGUCUGUCCAUGUGCAUGGCUAUGUGUGUCUGUGUAUCCGUGUACAUGUAUGUGUGUGUAUGAGUGUAUCGUGUGUAUCCAUGUUUGUGCCUAUGUGCAUAAAUGUAUGUUCAUGUGCAUGUAUAUGUGUGCCUGUGUAUGUGUAUGUGCGUGCCCCCAUUAUACUUGAAGACCACUUUCCAUUAGAUUUUCAAAUGAACCCAUGGUAGAAAUAAUGGUUCAAAAUCAUAAGGCAAUCAUUUUGGAAAGGAACAGGCUGAAUCUAGAAACCCGGCCCAAGGUCAGUCUCUAACUAUUCCGGGGCCUUAGCAACCAAAUUAAACACAGUCUUGUUUCUAACUCAUAUCAACAGGACUUUUUAACCACCUCCCCCCAAUUCCCGAAGAUCUCUGAGGCUGAAAUGAGCCAUUCUGCACCGGCUCUGCCGUGAGCCCAGGUGUAUCUCUGCAUUUCCCUCCUUAGCUAUAAAAUAGGAAUGAGAAAUAAUUUUUACAGUGGAAUCGAGGUGGCUCAGUGGCUAGAGGCAUUGCCAUCAAACGGAUAAUUUGUGUUGUCCGCGUGGAACCACGUGGUAUAUGGGAAGUUGUCCUGUGAUCCCUACAUUUGCAAUGUGGUACACAGUAUGUGCAUGACGACACACACACACACACACACACACACACACACACGCCCACACUACUUUUUUUUUUAAGAUUUAUUAAUCAUAUAUGAGUACACUGUAGCUGUCUUCAGACACACCAGAAGAGGGCAUCAGAUUCCAUUGCAGAUGGUUGUGAGCCACCAUGUGGUUGCUGGGAAUUGAACUCAGGACCUCUGGAAGAGCAGUCAGUGCUCUUAACCACUGAGCUGUCUCUCCAGCCCACGCACACACUACUUAAGGAAAUGUAAAAUAUUUUAAAAAUUCAGUUAUAUUGUUUUACUUACUCACUUUACAUCCUCACUUUACAUCCCUUCCACAAUCCUUCCCCAUCCUCCUCCCCCUUAUUUAAGACAGUGGGGAUCCCCCAGGUAUUCCCCACUACCCUCUCAAUCAAGUCUUUUUGAGGCUAGGCCCUUUCUCUCCCACUGAGGCCAGACAAGACAGCUCAGCUAGAACGACAUAUCCCACAUACAAGCAACAGCUUUUUGGGACAGCCCCUGGUUCCAGUUGUACAGGACCCACACGAAGGCCAAGCUACGUACAAGUAGGAAGGCCUUUUAGGGAACCCUUUAUAGAGGGUUUCGUAGGACUGUGGAAAGAGCAUGCUAAGUGUUGUAAAGGCAGUCAAUACAGGAGCACUGUUGGGCAUGGUUAUCAGCUGAGCCAAACCACCGCCAUCUUUGGGAGUUCCGCUGUACCCGCUUGUAAAGACCACCCCGCUGGGGUUGUUGUCUGUUUGAAUCCUCCAAUAGUUCCAGGCACUCUCUACCACCUGCUGUGUGUAAUUCCUCCCUUCUGCGCACAGCCUUGUGGCUUCAGACCGAGAUUAGAGUAUGUGAGAUGGGGGAAGCCUAGAGGAAGGCGGACCAUCUAUAUAGCUAUGUGGAAAGCCAUCAUCCUAUGGGGAAAGCCAUGAUCCGUGCUGCAUAAAGACUUUUCUGUAAGACCUUUUGGAAGGGAACACCCACUCCAGGAAGUAGCCUGUCACCUCAGGAAGUCCGGCUAACUCAUUGCUUUCCCAGAAGGAACUUUGGUGGAAUUGAGCCUUAGUUUUUUGUUAUAAGCAUGAGGGAGUGGGAGGGAAGGGCAUCAGCAAUUUUAUUUUAGCGACAGCCACAUAACGUAUCAUUUAGCUUGUCUGACACAUCCAAAAGACACAUCUGUAAGAACAGAGAACCGAUCAGGGAUUUCUCGGAUGGUUUUCGAUUGAGCUUUGUAGACCAUUAAUAAUUGAAAUAAGGAUUAAUCGAACACAAGCACUGCCAUACCACAAUGCUCAAUCAGAUAACAGGGGCAGCUGGUAACUGAUGAAUGGAUGGGUGGUGUAUACAGGGUGGAUACUCUGGCAGGGGGAUGGUUUAUGUCCCAUAAAGAACAGAGAAGGACGGCACGAGAUUUCAUCAGAUGGCGUGCAAUUUAAAACUUACGGUUUAUUUCCAGGACUUUCUAUUUGAUGUUUGCGGACCGUUGUCAUCAACUGUGUGGCUAAAACUGGAAAUCCCAAAGUGUUUUUCUCAGUUGUGCCCAUCCUUAGAAAACCAGGGGUGAGUCUUGGUUUAACCCAAAGUGAAGCAUGCUGUGUUCUUAUGGUGGCGCGCGAGACGGAUCGGAGCGGCACGCUAUUUGCUGACCCCUUAGCUUUAUCAAGCCUUUUACCAGUACAGCCUGGAGAUCCAUUGCUUGCUUUCUUCUGCCUGAUUCUCCUCAACUGAGCCAGCAGCCAUGUGACUGCUUUCACGAACUUAGUGACUCAGAAAGGUUGAAUAGGGGGAGAGGCAGCUGACAGCUAUAGAAACAAAGGCCCACAUCACAUGACAGACAGGAGGCAGGCCCUGGGUCAGCGCUAGAAGCAACCAGUGGGAGAGAGGAGACGGGCCCACUGUGAAAGGCACGGCUCACGAUGACAACAGCAACGUGACUCUUUUAGAACAAAAGGCAUCUUUAUGUGAGCAUGACUUUAACUCAAAAUAAGAGGAAGGAUGGCAGAUGUACCCUGGACGUGGAACUUUGUCUCCUCUUGGUCCUCAUGUGAUUGGGGCACAAUGAAUGCCCAGGCUCCGGGGCAGAGAGACAGUGGUAGUCACUGGAUCUUGCAGAUGUACUCAGCUUAAAUAAGCUUUCUGGUUUUGUUCUGGUUUGGGUCAAACUGGGGAUAACAGUAUUUCAUUUCACUAUUAUUUGUGUUUUGCGAGCUCGUGUAUACAAAGGUCCCUUGCAUAUUUUGAAAGAUAAAUAAUACAAGUAUUACAAGGAGCAAAUAAAAGUCCGAUAUUAUUGUUUAA